UAUUUUGUGGCGCAACGGUAGCGCGUCUGACUCCAGAUCAUAAGGUUGUGUGUUCAAAUCACAGUGGGGUAA
rnacentral:tRNA from 1 species